AGCUUUGCGCAGUGGCAGUAUCAUAGCCAAUGAGGUCCAACCGAGGCGUGAUUAUUGCUAAUUUUGCUGAAGCUGAAGCUUGAUGAAAGCGGAGGAGCUGUGUUCCCAUUAGGCAAGAGCUGCUGGCUUAUUUUUAGUCGGGGGCUUUGCAC
rnacentral:snRNA from 1 species